UACGAAGGGGGCUAGCGUUGUCCGGAUUUAUUGGGCGUAAAGAGCGUGUAGGCGGCCAGGUAGGUCUGCUGUGAAAACGUCGAGGCUCAACCCUCGAGACGUCGGCGGAAACCAUCGUGGCUAGAGUCCGGAAGAGGAGAGUGGAAUUCCUGGUGUAGCGGUGAAAUGACGCAGAUAUCAGGAGGAACACCGAUGGCGAAGGCAGGUCUCUGGGCAUUGAACUGACGCUGAGGAGCGAAAGCAUGGGGAGCGAACAGG
rnacentral:rRNA from 1 species